rnacentral:rRNA from 1 species
CCUACGGGUGGCAGCAGUGGGGAAUAUUGGACAAUGGGGGAAACCCUGAUCCAGCAAUGCCGCGUGGGUGAUGAAGGCCUUCGGGUUGUAAAGCCCUUUUGGCGGGGACGAUGAUGACGGUACCCGCAGAAUAAGCCCCGGCUAACUUCGUGCCAGCAGCCGCGGUAAUACGAAGGGGGCUAGCGUUGUUCGGAAUUACUGGGCGUAAAGGGCGCGUAGGCGGCUCUGUGCGUCGUGCGUGAAAGGCCUGGGCUCAACCCGGGAACGGCGCUCGAUACGACGGAGCUAGAGUGCAGGAGAGGAUGGUGGAAUUCCCAGUGUAGAGGUGAAAUUCGUAGAUAUUGGGAAGAACACCGGUGGCGAAGGCGGCCAUCUGGACUGCAACUGACGCUGAGGCGCGAAAGCGUGGGGAGCAAACAGGAUUAGAUACCCUUGUAGUC